UACGUAGGCAGCGAGCGUUGUUCGGAGUUACUGGGCGUAAAGGGUGUGUAGGCGGUUUUCUAAGUUUGGUGUGAAAUCUCCCGGCUUAACCGGGAGGGUGCGCCGAAAACUGGGAGACUAGAGUGCGGGAUGGGAGAGUAGAAUUCCUGGUGUAGCGGUGAAAUGCGUAGAUAUCAGGAGGAAUACCGGUGGUGCAGACGGCUCUCUGGACCGCAACUGACGCUGAGACACGAAAGCGUGGGGAGCAAACAGG
rnacentral:rRNA from 1 species